rnacentral:tRNA from 1 species
GCGUCGGUGGUGUAACGGUUAGCACGGUUGCCUUCCAAGCAGUCGGUCCGUGUUCGACUCCCGGCCGACGCA